rnacentral:rRNA from 1 species
UGGGGANUCUUCCGCAAUGGACGAAAGUCUGACGGAGCAACGCCGCGUGAGUGAUGACGGCCUUCGGGUUGUAAAGCUCUGUUAAUCGGGACGAAAGGCCUUCUUGCGAAUAGUGAGAAGGAUUGACGGUACCGGAAUAGAAAGCCACGGCUAACUACGUGCCAGCAGCCGCGGUAAUACGUAGGUGGCAAGCGUUGUCCGGAAUUAUUGGGCGUAAAGCGCGCGCAGGCGGAUAGGCCAGUCUGUCUUAAAAGUUCGGGGCUUAACCCCGUGAUGGGAUGGAAACUGCCAAUCUAGAGUAUCGGAGAGGAAAGUGGAAUUCCUAGUGUAGCGGUGAAAUGCGUAGAUAUUAGGAAGAACACCAGUGGCGAAGGCGACUUUCUGGACGAAAACUGACGCUGAGGCGCGAAAGCCAGGGGAGCGAACGGGAUUAGAUACCCCGGUAGUCCUGGCCGUAAAUGAUGGGUACUAGGUGUAGGAGGUAUCGACCCCUUCUGUGCCGGAGUUAACGCAAUAAGUACCCCGCCUGGGGAGUACGACCGCAAGGUUG